rnacentral:snoRNA from 1 species
AGUGCUGCAUGAGGGGCAAGUUUUUCACCAACACCACGAUGGUCUCUGGCCCAAUGAGUGGAGUUGGAUAGUAAUUCUUGCUACAAUA